rnacentral:lncRNA from 1 species
GGCUUGUAAUGGUGACGUGAGUGUCGACUGGGAGGGAGUUGGCCAGAUGGGGCCACUUCUGGAUUGUGCCCGGCCUGUCGUGGCGGAGUCGCUGGAGGUUCUGAAGGGGUUGGGUGGAGAAGAUAUUGUUGAUGACAGCGUGGCAUGGGGCCCUCCCCAAGCAUGGAGGUGUGUGUUGUCGAGCUGUGGUCGGACGUGCAAUAUUGCUUCUGGCGGGGGACCGGUGGAGGGUGGAGUGAGCGAGGGGAGUUCCUCGGCGUGGCCAGAGCCACGUUUGCGUUGCUAUUUUGUUUUUGAGUUCUUUU